AGGGUUUGACAAAAGAAAUACUGUCUUUAUUUUAAAUAUUGAAUUUAACUUUUAAGUGAGAAGGCUUAAAUUAUUUGGGGGGACGAUAAGACCCUAUAAAGCUUUAUUUAUUAUUUUAAAUUUAUUAAAGUAAUAAUUUAAAAAUAUGUUUAGAAUAGUUUAUUUUGUUGGGGCGACAGAGAUAUAAUUUAAAUAACUGUUUGAAAUUUAAACAGAGAUACUUGGGUAAGAGUAAAUGAUCCUUUUUAAAGAUUAAAAGAACAAGUUACUUUAGGGAUAACAGCGUAAUUUUCUUUGAGAGUUCCUAUCGAAAAGAAAGUUUGCGACCUCGAUGUUGAAUUAAAAGAUCUUUAUUGUGCAGCAGCUUUAAGAGAAGGUCUGUUCGACCUUUAAAUUUUUACAUGAUUUGAGU
rnacentral:rRNA from 1 species